rnacentral:rRNA from 1 species
GAUGAACGCUGGCGGCGUGCCUAAUACAUGCAAGUCGAGCGAACGGACGAGAAGCUUGCUUCUCUGAUGUUAGCGGCGGACGGGUGAGUAACACGUGGAUAACCUACCUAUAAGACUGGGAUAACUUCGGGAAACCGGAGCUAAUACCGGAUAAUAUUUUGAACCGCAUGGUUCAAAAGUGAAAGACGGUCUUGCUGUCACUUAUAGAUGGAUCCGCGCUGCAUUAGCUAGUUGGUAAGGUAACGGCUUACCAAGGCAACGAUGCAUAGCCGACCUGAGAGGGUGAUCGGACACACUGGAACUGCGACACGGUCCAGACUCCUACGGGAGGCAGCAGUAGGGAAUCUUCCGCAAUGGGCGAAAGCCUGACGUAGCAACGCCGCGUGAGUGAUGAAGGUCUUCGGAUCGUAAAACUCUGUUAUUAGGGAAGAACAUAUGUGUAAGUAACUGUGCACAUCUUGACGGUACCUAAUCAGAAAGCCACGGCUAACUACGUG